CAGGUUUCUAAACAUGAAGAAUGAAGAUAUGAUUUAAUUGUCAUGUUUACUGUCUUACAAAUGAAUAAACUAAUAAGGAAAAAAAAUCAAAGAAAGUCAUGGCAGAGGGACAUGGAUGAAUCUGGAGAACAUCAUUCUCAGCAAACUGACACAAGAACAGAAAAUGAAACACUGCAUAUUCUCACUCAUAGGCGGGUGAUGAAAAAUGAGAACACAUGGACACAGAGAGGGGAGUACUAAACACUGGGGUCUAUUGGGGGGAAAAGGGGAGGGCCAGUGGAAGGGGGAGGUGGGGAGGGAUAGCCUGGGGAGAAAUGCCAAAGGUGGGUGAAGGGGAGAAAGCAAACAAAACACACUGCCAUGUGUGUACCUAUGCAACUGUAUUGCAUGCUCUGCACAUGUACCCCAAAACCUAAAAUGCAAUAAAAAUAAAAAAAGAAA